rnacentral:tRNA from 1 species
AAAGAAUGAGAGAUUUCAGUUACGUUGAAAGGAACCUAAUAGGCAUUCUUU